UUAAUUACUUCUUGGAAAUCAGUGAGUGCUGAUCUACCUCUAUUGGUAUGUAACAUUUUCCGCUGGUUCCAAGCACCCGAUCUUAUUUUUUUUGAAGCCAGAGUGCAAGGAUACUAUUGACUGUAUGUAUAUAAAUAAAUAGGAUGGAGAGCAGGCAGAUGGAUACAACCUAUGAAACAAUGACCAUCUUAAAUAGUUUGGUUUCAGAAGAAUUCACCAUAUCCCCUAUAUCUGACAUUCUGAACACUUCGUGUAACAUUAUUUUAUCAUCAUCUGUCAUGGUUUCUUUAGUGUUUUUGCGUGUACAUACACAUCAUAUUUUGCUGAAAUUAUCUUAAUCUUGCUCCAUGGUAACAAUAAAAAAAAACCUGCAAUUUGUGUGUAGCUAUUUCUCACAAAUAUAGGCGUAUAUCCCAUAGCGG